rnacentral:pre_miRNA from 1 species
AAACAUAUUGGACCUUCGGUCUACCUAGCAAUUUCACCAGCUAGGUGGAAGAUCUUUCCUUUGGCGU